AUUGAACGCUGGCGGCAUGCCUUACACAUGCAAGUCGAACGGUAACAGGUUAAGCUGACGAGUGGCGAACGGGUGAGUAAUAUAUCGGAACGUGCCCAGUCGUGGGGGAUAACGUAGCGAAAGCUACGCUAAUACCGCAUACGAUCUACGGAUGAAAGCGGGGGAUCGCAAGACCUCGCGCGAUUGGAGCGGCCGAUAUCAGAUUAGGUUGUUGGUGAGGUAAAAGCUCACCAAGCCUGCGAUCUGUAGCUGGUCUGAGAGGACGACCAGCCACACUGGAACUGAGACACGGCCCAGACUCCUACGGGAGGCAGCAGUGGGGAAUUUUGGACAAUGGGCGCAAGCCUGAUCCAGCCAUUCCGCGUGCAGGACGAAGGCCUUCGGGUUGUAAACUGCUUUUAUACGGAACGAAAAGGCUCUGGUUAAUACCUGGGGCUCAUGACGGUACCGUAAGAAUAAGCACCGGCUAACUACGUGCCAGCCGCCGCCGUAA
rnacentral:rRNA from 1 species